GGAUUGACAUCCUGCGAACUUUCUUGAAAGAGAUUGGUGCCUUCGGGAACGCAGAGACAGGUGGUGCAUGGCUGUCGUCAGCUCGUGUCGUGAGAUGUUGGGUUAAGUCCCGCAACGAGCGCAACCCUCGUCCUUAGUUGCCAUCAUUAAGUUGGGCACUUUGAGGAGACUGCCGGUGACAAACCGGAGGAAGGUGGGGAUGACGUCAAGUCAUCAUGCCCCUUACAUCCUGGGCUACACACGUACUACAAUGCAACGGACAAAGGGCAGCCAACUAGCGAUAGUGAGCUAAUCCCAUAAACCGUUGCUCAGUUCAGAUUGCAGGCUGCAACUCGCCUGCAUGAAGGCGGAAUCGCUAGUAAUCGCAGGUCAGCAUACUGCGGUGAAUACGUUCCCGG
rnacentral:rRNA from 1 species